GACAGAGGAUGCAAGCGUUAUCCGGAAUGAUUGGGCGUAAAGCGUCUGUAGGUGGCUUUUAAGUCCGCCGUCAAAUCCCAGGGCUCAACCCUGGACAGGCGGUGGAAACUACCAAGCUGGAGUACGGUAGGGGCAGAGGGAAUUUCCAGUGGAGCGGUGAAAUGCGUAGAGAUUGGAAAGAACACCGAUGGCGAAGGCACUUUACUGGGCUAUUACUAACACUCAGAGACGAAAGCUAGGGUAGCAAAUGGG
rnacentral:rRNA from 1 species